rnacentral:lncRNA from 1 species
UUGACCUGGGAUUUGAAGGACUGAUCGGAUCAUUAGUGUGGGGAGGCAUCCCAGGAGGCAGAAGGGAAGAUAAAAAGGCAAUUUGAAAGAAGCAGCUUGCUGGAGAAGUCGUGAGCCAGGCUCUGGGACUCUGGGCAAAUCCAUCCUACUCGUCCAGCCACUGCAAUGGAAAUCCAGCUUUCUGGAUUGGAGCUCAGCAGGCCAUUCGUCAUUUCAGAACACCAUGCUGCCUUCUCAAAAUAACUUUUGUAGAACAUUUGUAAGAGGUAAAUUUUUUCAAAUUUGGUGAUGAGUUGAGUAUCCCCAGUAACCAGUGAGUUUAGGAAGCAAGUGCUUCCUAAUUCCAAAGUCUAAGAAGUUGGCCACAGUGUCCACACAUCCCAUUUGUAAUUCUAAUAAAGAAUGAAUUUUAAUUCUUUCAAAUAAACAUGAUUUUUUCAAAUGGUAGCCAAGUAGUUAGGACAUAAAUAUUAAUUUAGUACUUUGGACCUAACUACGAAUCAGUGAGUAUUCUUUUUGGCUUCAGGAUACUGUAAAAAAAUUACUAAGAUACUCAGGGUCCUGCCAUGAACCAAUAGAUUUUUCAAACUCCUGCCUCAUUUUUUUCUCCUCUUAAAUAAAUUCUAAUUGUUUAGCCAGGCUUUUCUUUGCCUUGAGAGGAAAUCUGGGUUUUACUCCAUUUUUCUGCUGAAACUGCUUUCUCAAGUUACUUUGAUCUUUCUUUUUUUUUUAUCUUUUUACACACAACCUAUGAUUUAAUUGGUAUAAGGAAUAGCCAAUAUCCUACACAGAAGGAACUCAUCGGUUAAAUGAGUAGAGAGCCCUGGACUUGGGAGUCAUAACCAGAGUUCAAAUCCAGCCUCAGUCUUACUAUGUGACCCUGGGCCAAUCAUUUAACUUGUCUGACUCAAGUUUCCUCAUCUGUAAAAGGAGGUUUCUAAUAGCACUUUCCUCCCAGAGUGGUAGUGAAGAUAAAAUGUUGAGCACAUAAUGAGCACUUAAUUGAUGCUUGUUCAUUUUAUUUAACCCUGGAUACUUCUUGUGACAUAUAAGCACAUCCACAAUCACUAGUAUAUAGUUACCUGAAUUUUUAAAUUUUCCUAUUUUCUAUUUUUAUUGAGGGGGAUGACCAUCUUUCCAAAUAUUUAGGUUUCACCUUCUCCAGUCUUCCCUUUCUCUCACCCUUCCAUAUAUUUUUCCUCCUGAAACAAUUGGGGUUAAGUGACUUGCCCAGGGUCACACACUUAGUAAGUGUUAGGUGUCUUGAGGUCUAUAUUUGAACUCAGAUCCUCCUGACUUCAAGGCUGGUGUUCUACCCACUGCCCCACUUAGCUUCUCUCCCUCCAUAUACAAUUAAUCAACUAGGGGUCAAGUCUUGUCGAUUCUUUCAUGGUGACUCUAGCAAAUAUGUGGCUUCUCUCUACUCUUAGUUGUCCAAGUGCUCAUUAUUAACUCUUUAUUGAACAACUGCAAUAGUCUUGUGGUAAGGGGUCUACCCAAUUAAGCCAAUCUCUACCCUCUGGGGUUCAUGUUCCCAUAGUCCUGCUGGCAAAUGUGCCUUCACAAGAUCCCCAUUAUCUCUAUAGUAAAAUAGAAAACUGCAGGCCUUUCAUAGUCUCUCCCUGGAGAGUUAGAUAGUUCUUUAUCUAUCUUAUUUAUCUUUUCCCCUCCCCACAUUUUUUUCUUUAAAUUCUACCUUUUCCCCUCCC